rnacentral:pre_miRNA from 1 species
AGUUGCUGAACACGACACAAGAUUGUGUUCGAGUCCUCUUGUGCGUGUGACAGCGGCUAU